rnacentral:misc_RNA from 1 species
AUUGUUACAGGGUGGGCAACUGCAGCUCUGUACCUUUGGUCUCUGGUUGCUCCUAUUAUGUUCCCAGACAGGGAGUUCUGAAUCUCUUCUGGGCGAUACUAAACAUUAUUCGGUUGAGGGGCUCAAGGUAUUGUGUAUAUGUAAUGUAAUGGCAACUUUCAGAAAUGCUUGUCAAAUGGAAUCUCUAUAAAUACUUCUAUAAUAUCAUAAAACACGUGUUAUUGCUUUCA